rnacentral:pre_miRNA from 9 species
UCUCGAUCGCUUAAAAGUUAACUCUAAUUUGUAUGGAGUUAGAACGUUUGCCUGCGUUUGCCGCUAGGGGCGCUGUUCCAACUCCAUACAAAUUUAAGUUAACUUUUACGCUAUCGA